UGUGACUAUAUGUUUAACGGCCGCGGUAUUUUAACCGUGCGAAGGUAGCGCAAUCACUUGUCUUUUAAAUGGAGACCUGUAUGAAUGGCAUUACGAGGGCUUAACUGUCUCCUUUUUCAAGUCAGUGAAAUUGAUCUCCCCGUGCAGAAGCGGGGAUACACCCAUAAGACGAGAAGACCCUAUGGAGCUUUAGACACCAAGGCAUAUCAUGUUAAACACCCCUAAACAAAGGGCUAAACCAAAUGAAUCAUGCCCCCAUGUCUUUGGUUGGGGCGACCGCGGGGAAAUAAAAAACCCCCACGUGGAAUGGGAGUACUACCUCCUACAACCAAGAGCUGCAGCUCUAAUGAACAGAAUUUCUGACCAAUAAGAUCCGGCAAUGCCGAUCAACGAA
rnacentral:rRNA from 1 species